CGUGCUCAGUAUGACUAAUGCAUUAGUCACAGGUUACACUAUGAGAGACUCAAGAAAAGACAGUCUUGAUCUCCAGAACGACCUUGCUUCCUGACUCUAAAUUCCUCCUCUCCAACCAAUGAUUCCUCUCUGCCUCCACCUCUGAGACUGGUUCUUUUCCUGGCAGGAGAUAUUUACUGAGCAGGCCUAGCCACCACCUGUGGCCUCCUGCGGGCCAGACUGGACUGCAGCUGCCAGGACCUAGUGAUGGCCCCAAACCUGAGAGUGGGCCCAGGGCCCCACCCCGCUAACCCUGC
rnacentral:lncRNA from 1 species